GGGGCCGUCGUCUAGCUUCCCUUCUCUCAUUUGGCUUGGGCUAGAAUGGAUCAAGAUGCCUGCCUGGGGCGCAGGCGAUCGUGGGUUCAAAUCCCUCCGGCCCCACCA
rnacentral:tRNA from 1 species